rnacentral:rRNA from 1 species
GAUGAACGCUGGCGGCGUGCCUAAUACAUGCAAGUCGAGCGAAUGGAUUAAGAGCUUGCUCUUAUGAAGUUAGCGGCGGACGGGUGAGUAACACGUGGGUAACCUGCCCAUAAGACUGGGAUAACUCCGGGAAACCGGGGCUAAUACCGGAUAACAUUUUGAACCGCAUGGUUCGAAAUUGAAAGGCGGCUUCGGCUGUCACUUAUGGAUGGACCCGCGUCGCAUUAGCUAGUUGGUGAGGUAACGGCUCACCAAGGCAACGAUGCGUAGCCGACCUGGACGGGUGAUCGGCCACACUGGGACUGAGACACGGCCCAGACUCCUACGGGAGGCAGCAGUAGGGAAUCUUCCGCAAUGGACGAAAGUCUGACGGAGCAACGCCGCGUGAGUGAUGAAGGCUUUCGGGUCGUAAAACUCUAUUGUUAGGGAAGAACAAGUGCUAGUUGAAUAAGCUGGCACCUUGACGGUACCUAACCAGAAAGCCACGGCUAACUACGUGCCAGCCGCCGCAGUAA